rnacentral:rRNA from 1 species
UACGGAGGAUGCAAGCGUUAUCCGGAAUUAUUGGGCGUAAAGCGUCCGCAGGUGGCACUUCAAGUCUGCUGUCAAAGACCGGGGCUUAACCCUGGAAAGGCAGUGGAAACUGAAGCGCUAGAGUGUGGCAGGGGUAGAGGGAAUUCCCGGUGUAGCGGUGAAAUGCGUAGAGAUCGGGAAGAACAUCGGUGGCGAAAGCGCUCUACUGGACCGCGACUGACACUGAUGGACGAAAGCUAGGGGAGCGAAUGGG